CCUACGGGAGGCAGCAGUGAGGAAUAUUGGUCAAUGGGCGAGAGCCUGAACCAGCCAAGUCGCGUGAGGGAGUACUGCCCUAUGGGUUGUAAACCUCUUUUGUCGGGGAGCAAAAGCCGGACGUGUCCGGCUGUGAGAGUACCCGAAGAAAAAGCAUCGGCUAACUCCGUGCCAGCAGCCGCGGUACUACGGGGGAAGCGAGCGUUAUCCGGAUUUAUUGGGUUUAAAGGGUGCGCAGGCGGAUUUUUAAGUCAGCGGUAAAAUCGUGGGGCUCAACCCCAUCCAGCCGUUGAAACUGGGGAUCUAGAGUGUGCGAGAGGUAUGCGGAAUGCGUGGUGUAGCGGUGAAAUGCAUAGAUAUCACGCAGAACCCCGAUUGCGAAGGCAGCAUACCGGUGCACAACUGACGCUCAGGCACGAAAGCGUGGGUAUCGAACAGGAUUAGAUACCCGAGUAGUC
rnacentral:rRNA from 1 species